ACGUCAUGGAGCACCACUUUCGAAAUGUCCUAUUUGACACGAACUCAGCUGAUCGUUACUAAACUAACUGGAUCUCAAGCCUUGUCUACUUUUUCCUACUUGUUACACGACUGUGGCUAAUAAGAUUUUUUUUUAAAGAAGAGAAAAUGAGCUCUGGAAAAGCACUACAGUCAGUGUCUCCUCACAACAAUCAACCGCCGCCGACACCAAGCCUGGCGAAAAGAAAGAAGAUUCAAGAGAAGUCUGCAAUAAGGAGUCCAACAGACAAUGUGAUGUCCCCAUGUACAAGACAGCUCAUGAAGAAAGCUAUCAAGGACAUACCGUCAUCUCCCAGACCCAGACGGGAAGCGAAAGAGAACACUGCAAAUAAAUGAAUUACCUUUUUUA